rnacentral:rRNA from 1 species
UACGUAGGGGGCAAGCGUUGUCCGGAAUCAUUGGGCGUAAAGAGCGUGUAGGCGGCCUGAUAAGUCGGCUGUGAAAGUCAAGGGCUCAACCCUUGAAUGCCGGCCGAUACUGUCAGGCUAGAAUCCGGAAGAGGCGAGUGGAAUUCCUGGUGUAGCGGCGAAAUGCGCAGAUAUCAGGAGGAACACCUAUGGCGAAGGCAGCUCGCUGGGACGGUAUUGACGCUGAGACGCGAAAGCGUGGGGAGCAAACAGG